rnacentral:misc_RNA from 1 species
AGGCACUCCAGAAAUUCUUGAAAUCUGGUCCAAAGGAAAGAUAUCUUGGAGUUUUACCAGGUCAAGGAAAAGAAGCUAUUGAUUUUAUCCUAGUGCAAAAUGUCUGAGCAAUUCCCAAAGUUGAGUAAAAAGCAAUUAAAGACUCAAGAACAAAAAAGAGUAUCUUCAAGUCCCAAGGAUCAUUCUUCUAGAAAGCAGCUCAGAAAAGGGGAAAACCCUCUCCGAAUUCUAU